GGAGUUGUGGCUCAGUGGUAAAGCACUCUUCUAGCACAUAGGAAGCCCUGGGUUUGAUCCUCAGCACCA
rnacentral:tRNA from 1 species